GAAAAGAAACCAACUGGGAUUACCUUAGUAACGGCGAGUGAAGCGGUAAAAGCUCAAAUUUGAAAUCUGGUACUUUCAGUGCCCGAGUUGUAAUUUGUAGAAUUUGUCUUUGAUUAGGUCCUUGUCUAUGUUCCUUGGAACAGGACGUCAUAGAGGGUGAGAAUCCCGUUUGGCGAGGAUACCUUUUCUCUGUAAGACUUUUUCGAAGAGUCGAGUUGUUUGGGAAUGCAGCUCAAAGUGGGUGGUAAAUUCCAUCUAAAGCUAAAUAUUGGCGAGAGACCGAUAGCGAACAAGUACAGUGAUGGAAAGAUGAAAAGAACUUUGAAAAGAGAGUGAAAAAGUACGUGAAAUUGUUGAAAGGGAAGGGCAUUUGAUCAGACAUGGUGUUUUUUGCAUGCACUCGCCUCUCGUGGGCUUGGGCCUCUCAAAAAUUUCACUGGGCCAACAUCAAUUCUGGCAGUAGGAUAAAUCAUUAAGAAUGUAGCUACCUCGGUAGUGUUAUAGCUUAUUGGAAUACUGCUAGCUGGGAUUGAGGACUGCGCUUCGGCAAGGAUGUUGGCAUAAUGGUUAAAUGCCGCCCGUCUUGAAACACGGACCAAGGA
rnacentral:rRNA from 1 species